rnacentral:rRNA from 1 species
AUUGAACGCUGGCGGAAUGCUUUACACAUGCAAGUCGAACGGUAGAGGGGGCAACCCCUUGAGAGUGGCGAACGGGUGAGUAAUAUAUCGGAACGUGCCUAGUGGUGGGGGAUAACGUUCGGAAACGGACGCUAAUACCGCAUACGUCCUACGGGAGAAAGCGGGGGGAUCUUCGGACCUCGCGCCAUUAGAUGAGCCUAGGUCGGAUUAGCUAGUUGGUGAGGUAAUGGCUCACCAAGGCGACGAUCCGUAACUGGUCUGAGAGGAUGAUCAGUCACACUGGAACUGAGACACGGUCCAGACUCCUACGGGAGGCAGCAGUGGGGAAUAUUGGACAAUGGGCGAAAGCCUGAUCCAGCCAUGCCGCGUGUGUGAAGAAGGUCUUCGGAUUGUAAAGCACUUUAAGUUGGGAGGAAGGGCAGUAACCUAAUACGUUAUUGUUUUGACGUUACCGGCAGAAUAAGCACCGGCUAACUUCGUG